rnacentral:lncRNA from 1 species
AGAAAUGUGAUGGAGUACUGACAUUCAUUUCACUUUGAAUUAAACACAGCAUCACCAUGAGUCUCAAGAGACGAUAUUAAGUUUUGUGUUUGGGUAAUACUGGGAAUUCUACAGGCAAGGGUAGAAUUAUAUUUGGUGGGCAAAAAGCCAGUCAAACUUCACACUUGUCCUAGAAGUAGGUGGUCAAAACCUCAGUUCUUGUCAUCAAACCUAUUGGCCACACUUGCUUAAA